GGCUUUAAUGUAACAAAAUGUGAAAAGUCAAGGGGUCUGAAUACUUUCUUAAUGCACUGUACAUACUGUAGUGUUUGGGAUCAUUCACCCAUUGGAUAUAAGACACUAGAACCAUUAAAAUGAUUGAAAUUGGAGUAAAUGUUCUUUUUCAGCAGGGUUUGCAUGAUUCAGCUUAAAACAUUUGGCAAACGACAGCUGGCAGAGCGCACCAAAGCGGGUUAAGGUCUCAUGGCAUACUGGACCCAGUCAACACGUUGGGCUCGUGCCUAUUCCAUUUGAGACUUGAAGGACUCGGCAUGGACUUGGGGGGACUUCGUACGGAUGAGCUUUUCCCGCGUCAGGCCGAAUCAUAUCACUCUGGGCUCCGGCUAAUGGUACUCGAGCCGAGCCCAUUUCAGUUUACCCGGGCCGAUUCACUUUUUCAGGAGUAGGGCAAUUUAAGGUUUUUAUUCGGCAAGGGAUGAAAUACCAAUAUAAAAAAAAUAUUAAAAAAUAUAUAUAUUUCACCUCCAAGUCAUCGAAUUUUCUAGGUCAUACAAUUUGUGUCAGUCUCUGCGGUCCUAUAGCUAUCAGAGAUGGUCCCUAAUUUAGAGAAUAUCCAAUCCUAUAAAUGCUUUUGCUUUUACUAAAGGCUAUGGCAGCUUUUGUUUUACAGUCCACCCAAUUAAAAAGUGCUCAUUCCUUUCCAUAACAUUGUUUCUAGGUUACCAGCAUAUAAGAUAUACGUGCACAAUAAUAACUUUACAAACAUUAUCUGCUAACUUGCUGUGUGUGUUGGCUUCUAUGGUCAUCUUUUGUCUGUGUUAGCUAAUUGCACUGUUUAUUGUGCUGCACAUGUUCUUCUGUUCCACUGUAUGCCAUUUUGAUGUUCUAUUAUGACUAACAAAAAAAGAUCUGAAUUUAACAAAUAACACACAGGCCUAUUUUUUUCAAUAUCCUACUACAAUUUACCAGGAUUGACAAAAUCCUAUUUUUAUCGCAUUUAUUUUAAUCACUAAUUAGUCAAACAUGAUUGCACCUGAAUUUGAUCCUGAAAAUAUGACUAUAAUAUUUUCCCUUAAAGCUUUUAAGCAAUAAACAUAAUGCAGGCGGUAAUUGUAUUUUAAUUUCAGUGGCUAAAUAAGGAGGUAGGCAUAUCAGUUCCAGCUGAAACUUGGAUUGGAAUCUGUGCUUCAUGUGCAGCAAUAGAUCUCUCCGGGCAGCGGGCAGCCUGCUUGCUUCAGCAUUCCAUAAAGCCGUUGGGACAGAGCACCGGGUAGGCUACACAACAACACAGCUGGAAAAGAAUGACAGUUUCUCAAUGUACACCAAAAAUAUAUAUAUUUGACUGCUAAGUGGUAGUCCCUGUUCUCCGGCAUUCUUGUUUUACUGCUGUAAGUAAAGCGGUGGUUUGUUGGGGAAAAGAACGUCAAGGAAAGGUUCGCUAGCUAGCUAACUUUAGCUAACUAACGUUAUCUCUCUGGCUAACCCUCCGUUGACAUGGUAAGUUUUCAUUUUGAUAAAUGUUUAGUUAAUGACAGUAAAUGUGCGUGUGUGUGUGUUCUCUGUGUGAGAGAGUGUGUGUGUGUGUUCUCUGUGUGAGAGAGUGUGUGUGUGUUCUCUGUGUGAGAGAGUGUGUGUGUGUUCUCUGUGUGAGAGAGUGUGUGUGUGUGUUCUCUGUGUGAGAGAGUGUGUGUGUGUGAGUGAGAGAGAUGAUGAUGAUCACAAUAACUUAUAGAAAAUAUAGUUGUCAUGUCAACAUUGUGACAUGCUAGCUGUGUGUGUGUGUGAGAGAGAGAGAGAGAGAGAGAGCGCGAGAUGGUUGAUGAGUACACAUAUAAGAAACAUUGAUUGUGUGUGUGAGACAUUGCAAGCUAGUCUAAUUCUUGAAAUGUGUACCCCCCCAUAUGGAUUAAAAAAAAUUCUUGAUUCAUCAGAGAUCCUUGUAUUUUUGUGUAUUUUGUAUUUGACAAUACGAUACAUUUUGCUAUACCUGCUCCCCCUCAACACUCAUUCACAUGUUGCACCUGUCAACUGCCUUUUUCAAUUCUUGAUUCUCUUUUUUUGCGGAAAUCUUCACACUGGGCACACACUAGUUGAAUCAAUGUUGAUUCCACAUCUUUGAAAUGAAAUUACGUUGAACCAGCGUGGGAUAGACGUUGGAUUAACGUCUGCUCCCAGUGGGGUCCAACUUGGAUGGAAGGGUAGAGGUGGUAACAAAGGAAAGAAGUACAGAAGUUACCCAGCCUGCUGACUAAGCCAUUUAAAUAGCCUAUCUCUCGCUCUCCAUCUGUCUGCCUGACUGCCAGAUUGCUGUGAGGCAACAUAGUCAAUGUACUUGCUAGGCUAAGUCUAACUUAGUGAAGACCUUAGGCAAUGGUUAAUCAUGAUUUGUCUCGGUCUUUAAAGUUCCUGAAACAUGUCAAUGACAUGAUGCACGGCUUCUACACCAGUGCUUGGCCACACACUCAGUUACCAGUGACCUAUUCUACUACAUCCCAGGGAUAGGAUAGUCAUAGUCAUUGACAGUUUUGUGUGGAAAAUGUUGUUUUUGUCUAUUUGAUACUCUGAUAUUCAAUGUGUAUUGAUUCCUACUAAUCAGCUUUGUAAGAGCUAGGUUUGUACUAGCUAUGCUGAUGAUCGUUAACAUUUUUCCAUUAAAUCACUGAGACUGGAUUCCCCAAGAGACAUGCUAUUCAGCUGCCCAUGAUUGCCUGAGUAAGUAGAUCCAAAUUGCUGUCAGUAGAUCAAAUUGGAAUAGCACCACUUCUAAUAAUAGAAGUUUGUAAAGCAUAUAAAAUCCUAUUUUAACUCACUUUUUUUUUUCAGGUGCAAAACCGUUGUUCUGAUUCAAGAGAUACCUACCUCCCUUGAUGAUGACCAAAGAAUUAAUGUUCCACUUCAAUAUAAGGGCUAGAGGAGCAAGCAUGCCUUUGCUACCACUAGUGUGUGCUCUUCAUUGUAGUUGUAAGUGUCAUGAAAAGUCAGAACACUCAGGAGGUUGUGUUACGGGCUCUCUGGAAAGUCCUAAAAUGUGCCCCUGACUGUCGUGGUGGAGGAGGACACAAAAUCUGACACAUCACACGACUCUUCAAGGCCACUACGCUCCAGAUCGUCUUCUGUGCUCAGAGGUCCUUCAUGAGGAUCUACCCCAUCACACCACUCUUAUUAAUCAUGAAUAAAAUAAAAACAAUGAGCCUUUAUACACUGUGUCCCAGUCUUUCUAUGUAUGUAAUGUCUGUGGGUGAAUUAUGAAACAAUUACUGUAUGCAGAUGUGCAAAAUGUUUUGAUGUAUAUUCGUUUUUGCCAUUGCUUGAUAUAUUUUAAAUGUAAGAAUAUGUUGCAUAUUGAAACAUUAAUUGGUGCCUAUAGAAACUCAUAGAAAUGUAAUGAACCAUGUAUUCAAUAUCAAACUUCAUCCUCUGCAAUACGUGUUACAGUAGGUAAUAAGCUGUAAUCAGGUGGUCAUUCAGGUUAUGAUAUCUUAACUAUGACCAGUAUAUACAGUGCCUUCAGAAAGUAUUCAUACCUCUUGACUUUUCCACAUUUUGUUCAAAUCCUCACUUAUCUACGCACAAAACCCUGUUAAUGACAAAGUGAAAACAUGUUGAUAGAAAUGUUUGCAAAUUGAUUGAAAAUUAAAUACAAAAAUACCUCAUUUACAUAAGUAUUCACACCCCUGGGUAAGU